rnacentral:rRNA from 1 species
ACGCUCGACACCUACUGGAGGCAGCAGUGGGGAAUAUUGCACAAUGGGGGAAACCCUGAUGCAGCGACGCCGCGUGAGUGAAGAAGUAUUUCGGUAUGUAAAGCUCUAUCAGCAGGGAAGAAGAUGACGGUACCUGAGUAAGAAGCCCCGGCUAACUACGUGCCAGCAGCCGUGGUAAUCUGAGGCGGGCGUGGCAAGGC